GGUAAAGCUUUUGCGGUUUGGGAUGGGCCUGCGUCCUAUCAUGUAUUUGGUGAGGUAAAUGCUCACCAAGCCUAUGACGGGUAGCUGGUCUGAGAGGAUGGUCAGCCAGACUGGGACUGCGACACGGCCCAGACUCCUACGGGAGGCAGCAACUAGGAAUUGUGCGCAAUGGACGAAAGUCUGACGCCGCGACAUCGCGUGGAGGAUGAAGGUCUUCGGAUUGUAAACUCCUUUUCUUACCGAACAAGUUCUGAGUGUAGGUAAGGAAUAAGUGCCUGCUAACCACGUGCCAGAAGCAUCGGUAAUACGUGGGGCACGAGCGUUAUCCGGAUUUACUGGGCGUAAAGAGAAGCGUAGGCGGCUCGAUAAGUUUGGUGUUAAAUCUUCCGGCUCAACCGGAAACAAGCACCGAAAACUAUCGAGAUUGAGUCGAGUAGGGAAGAGGGGAAUUCCUGGUGGAGCGGUUACAUGCGUAGAUAUCAGGAGGAAUACCAAGGGCGAAGGCACCUCUUUGGACUCGUACUGACGCUGAGGCUCGAAAGCGUGUGUAGCAAAACGGAUUAGAUACCCGUGUAGUCCGCGCCGUAAACGAUCCCUGUUAGAUGUAUGUUUUGUC
rnacentral:rRNA from 1 species